rfam:Lactobacillus plantarum bacteriophage LP65, complete genome.
GCCUUGUUAGUUCAACGGUAGAACUCCUGUCUUGUAAACAGGUGAUUUCAGUCCAACUCUGGAACGAGGCA